rnacentral:rRNA from 1 species
AGGGUGUAAACGCUGCGGGCUUGGUGUUGGGGGUCCUUUGAGGGCGCCCAGUGCCGGAGAGAAGUUGUUAAGCCUGCUGCUUGGGGAGUACGUCCGCAAGGAUGAAACUUAAAGGAAUUGGCGGGGGAGCACCGCAACGGGAGGAGCGUGCGGUUCAAUUGGAUUCAACGCCGGACAACUCACCAGGAGCGACGGUUACAUGAAGGCCAGGCUGAUGACCUUGCCUGAUUUCCGAGAGGUGGUGCAUGGCGUAGUCCGUG